AUUAUUAUUAUUAUUAUCACACCGUUGGUCUCCCACCAUAUGCUGUCAUCAUCACAAAUGAUCUGUCCCUAAAAGUUAAUAUCCACCAUCCCCCCUGGCUUUUUUUUACAACUCGACCACUUAUCGUAAUAACUCGAGAACUGUGGUCUGGGUCUGAACAUGCACAGAACUUUGACACUCAUUUUCAAUUUAACACAGCCCGACUUGACACCAGAGGAUGGAACAAAUGAAACAGAAUCCGCUGAAAUGGAUGACGAUGAGCAGUGUUUCACAAACAUCUUCAACGAUCCUGAAAUCCAAGAGCAACCCAUCUACUCUGGUGCAUCAAUUAACCGUGGACAGCUACUGUGCCUCAUUCUGGCCUUCAUCUUGAAGCAUAGCAUUAGUGGCAGUGGAUUAAAAGAUUUGUUGGAUCUUUUAAA